rnacentral:rRNA from 1 species
CGGAGGGUGCAAGCGUUAUCCGGAUUCACUGGGUUUAAAGGGUGCGUAGGCGGGCAUGUAAGUCCGUGGUGAAAUCUCCGAGCUUAACUCGGAAACUGCCAUGGAUACUAUGUGUCUUGAAUGUUGUGGAGGUGAGCGGAAUAUGUCAUGUAGCGGUGAAAUGCUUAGAUAUGACAUAGAACACCAAUUGCGAAGGCAGCUCACUACACAAAUAUUGACGCUGAGGCACGAAAGCGUGGGGAUCAAACAGGAUUAGAUACCCUGGUAGUCCACGCCCUAAACGAUGAUUACUCGACAUACGUGAUACACAAUGUGUGUCUGAGCGAAAGCAUUAAGUAAUCACCUGGGAAGUACGACCGCAAGGUUG